ACACAUGCAAGUCGAACGGAAAGGCCCUUCGGGGUACUCGAGUGGCGAACGGGUGAGUAACACGUGGGUGAUCUGCCCCGCACUUUGGGAUAAGCCUGGGAAACUGGGUCUAAUACCGAAUAGGACCACGCGCUUCAUGGUGUGUGGUGGAAAGCUUUUGCGGUGUGGGAUGGGCCCGCGGCCUAUCAGCUUAUUGGUGGGGUAAUGGCCUACCAAGGCGACGACGGGUAGCCGGCCUGAGAGGGUGACCGGCCACACUGGGACUGAGAUACGGCCCAGACUCCUACGGGAGGCAGCAGUGGGGAAUAUUGCACAAUGGGCGCAAGCCUGAUGCAGCGACGCCGCGUGAGGGAUGACGGCCUUCGGGUUGUAAACCUCUUUCAAUAGGGACGAAGCGCAAGUGACGGUACCUAUAGAAGAAGCACCGGCCAACUACGUGCCAGCAGCCGCGGUAAUACGUAGGGUGCGAGCGUCGUCCGGAAUUACUGGGCGUAAAGAGCUCGUAGGUGGUUUGUCGCGUUGUUCGUGAAAACUCACAGCUUAACUGUGGGCGUGCGGGCGAUACGGGCAGACUAGAGUACUGCAGGGGAGACUGGAAUUCCUGGUGUAGCGGUGGAAUGCGCAGAUAUCAGGAGGAACACCGGUGGCGAAGGCGGGUCUCUGGGCAGUAACUGACGCUGAGGAGCGAAAGCGUGGGGAGCGAACAGGAUUAGAUACCCUGGUAGUCCACGCCGUAAACGGUGGGUACUAGGUGUGGGUUCCUUCCUUGGGAUCCGUGCCGUAGCUAACGCAUUAAGUACCCCGCCUGGGGAGUACGGCCGCAAGGCUAAAACUCAAAGGAAUUGACGGGGGCCCGCACAAGCGGCGGAGCAUGUGGAUUAAUUCGAUGCAACGCGAAGAACCUUACCUGGGUUUGACAUGCACAGGACGCCGGCAGAGAUGUCGGUUCCCUUGUGGCCUGUGUGCAGGUGGUGCAUGGCUGUCGUCAGCUCGUGUCGUGAGAUGUUGGGUUAAGUCCCGCAACGAGCGCAACCCUUGUCCUAUGUUGCCAGCGGGUUAUGCCGGGGACUCGUAGGAGACUGCCGGGGUCAACUCGGAGGAAGGUGGGGAUGACGUCAAGUCAUCAUGCCCCUUAUGUCCAGGGCUCCACACAUGCUACAAUGGCCGGUACAAAGGGCUGCGAUGCCGUGAGGUGGAGCGAAUCCUUUCAAAGCCGGUCUCAGUUCGGAUCGGGGUCUGCAACUCGACCCCGUGAAGUCGGAGUCGCUAGUAAUCGCAGAUCAGCAACGCUGCGGUGAAUACGUUCCCGGGCCUUGCAAACGCCGCCCGUCAAG
rnacentral:rRNA from 1 species